GGGUUGUGAGGUUAAGCGACUAAGCGUACACGGUGGAUGCCCUGGCAGUCAGAGGCGAUGAAGGGCGUGCUAAUCUGCGAUAAGCGCCGGUAAGGUGAUAUGAACCGUUAUAACCGGCGAUACCCGAAUGGGGAAACCCAGUGUGAUUCGUCACACUAUCAUUAACUGAAUCCAUAGGUUAAUGAGGCGAACCGGGGGAACUGAAACAUCUAAGUACCCCGAGGAAAAGAAAUCAACCGAGAUUCCCCCAGUAGCGGCGAGCGAACGGGGAGGAGCCCAGAGCCUGAAUCAGCAUGUGUGUUAGUGGAAGCGUCUGGAAAGGCGCGCGAUACAGGGUGACAGCCCCGUACACAAAAGCGCAUGUGCUGUGAGCUCGAUGAGUAGGGCGGGACACGUGAUAUCCUGUCUGAAUAUGGGGGGACCAUCCUCCAAGGCUAAAUACUCCUGACUGACCGAUAGUGAACCAGUACCGUGAGGGAAAGGCGAAAAGAACCCCGGCGAGGGGAGUGAAAAAGAACCUGAAACCGUGUACGUACAAGCAGUGGGAGCACCCUUCGGGGUGUGACUGCGUACCUUUUGUAUAAUGGGUCAGCGACUUAUAUUCUGUAGCAAGGUUAACCGAAUAGGGGAGCCGGAGGGAAACCGAGUCUUAACCGGGCGUUAAGUUGCAGGGUAUAGACCCGAAACCCGGUGAUCUAGCCAUGGGCAGGUUGAAGGUUGGGUAACACUAACUGGAGGACCGAACCGACUAAUGUUGAAAAAUUAGCGGAUGACCUGUGGCUGGGGGUGAAAGGCCAAUCAAACCGGGAGAUAGCUGGUUCUCCCCGAAAGCUAUUUAGGUAGCGCCUCGUGAAUUCAUCUCCGGGGGUAGAGCACUGUUUCGGCUAGGGGGCCAUCCCGGCUUACCAACCCGAUGCAAACUGCGAAUACCGGAGAAUGUUAUCACGGGAGACACACGGCGGGUGCUAACGUCCGUCGUGAAGAGGGAAACAACCCAGACCGCCAGCUAAGGUCCCAAAGUCAUGGUUAAGUGGGAAACGAUGUGGGAAGGCCCAGACAGCCAGGAUGUUGGCUUAGAAGCAGCCAUCAUUUAAAGAAAGCGUAAUAGCUCACUGGUCGAGUCGGCCUGCGCGGAAGAUGUAACGGGGCUAAACCAUGCACCGAAGCUGCGGCAGCGA
rnacentral:rRNA from 5 species